ACACGGGAAACCGCCCACAUGCCCACCAUUACAACGGACAACUAAACAUCAACGCAAUGAAGGAACCACAACUGCACAUCACAGGGAUGCUAUCUCACACCCGACGCUGGGGGAGAGAGGCCAGACCCACGGAGGACCUGCUGGGGCACUGUUCUGACUGCAAUUCCAGCACAUGUCUUUGGUACGGUUGUCAGAGAAGUGAGCCAAGAAUGAUUAAAAUUCUGGAGACUGAUCCGGGAGAGGUGUUUAGAGCAUUCCAGUAUCAGUAAGCAGUGAAUCACUCAUAAGAACUGGAUGAAAUGAAAAUAUUCGGAAGAGUGUUGGGCCAAUGCACCAUUUUGGUAUUCAUCUUCAAUGGAGUUCAGAGCAAAAGAAGAGGCUCAGGCAUAGAGGCUUUCUUCUUUAUACUUCGGUAGGGUUGGGAUUGGCCAGGGGAUAACAUAUUUCACUGCGCUGACUUUAAUAGGAUAAGGUGUUGGCUAAUAUGAUAACAGCAUGAGAGGAGAUUUAGGUGAUCUCAGGGGCUUGGGGCAGGGGGAAUGAAACCAGUCACUAAAAUGACAGUCUAAUGAUAUAAGAACGGGACCAGCUGAGGGGGUGCAAAAACCUUACCCGAAGCAGCGGACUUAGAAAUUCUACACUGUUCCCUCUCAACUUCUAGAUGUUUUUCUGAAAUGAAAUGUGCCAUGGUAUGAAUCUUACUAAACCCAGGUCAUCUCUUUGGAACAGGUGACGGGGAUAGAAGUUGACGUCACAGGUGGAAGGGAAAGACAGGUGAGGUUAUGGGGAAGCAGUUAUCACCUAUUUAUACCACAGGUGAGUCUGGUGAGAUGGCGUUAGAUCGGAGUUUGAAUCCCAACUAGGCCAACUUCCGGCUGGGUAAACUUCAACAGGUUUCUUCACCUCUCUGCACAUAGGUUUCCUCAUGUGUGUAGGGUUCAAAUGUCUAAUAAUUGAAGAGCUAUCACCCAUGUAAUUAAGAGACACCUGUUUCUUCUGGAAUACAACAUUUAUUUCUACAAGUCCCCCACACACAGGUUGGUCUCAAAUGCAAGCUUCCGUGUCCUCCACAGGAGUAGCGAGGAGUGUCUUCUGCCUUCCGGCAGUAGCAUCUGGAGAUGCCUUCCAUGUGUUGCUAACCACAAUGGGAAGACAGCACCAGAGCCAGUAAGUCAGCCCUCAAGAUGAUUCAGAGUUCUGGGGUAAUUUAUUACACACUCGUAAACAACGAAUGCAUUAUUUUAUUAUGAUGCGUGAGGUGCUUCUGUAACAGAAACCUGAAAUGUUGGAGUGGCUUUGGAACUGGACAGUGGGGGAAGCUGGAAGGACUUGGGAGAGAGUGUCAGCGAAAGCCCUUAAAGUCUUGAAGAAUCUAAUGAUGCAUCAAUCCCUGUUUCAAAUGCAGGCACAGAAAUGAUUUCCAAAGAAAUGAACUGGAGAAAGUAGAAAUGCAUACGGAAUUGGAAUAAAACAAACCUUCCUUCUGAUCCCCCCCCCCCCAAAAUUCUAUACAAUUACUCUGAGGUUUAAAAAAAAAAAGAUUUCAAAAACAUAAGUCUUGGACAACAGCUGCACACAAA